GGUUAAGCGACUAAGCGUACACGGUGGAUGCCCUGGCAGUCAGAGGCGAUGAAGGACGUGCUAAUCUGCGAUAAGCGCCGGUAAGGUGAUAUGAACCGUUAUAACCGGCGAUACCGAAUGGGGAAACCCAGUGUGACUCGUCACACUAUCAUUAACUGAAUCCAUAGGUUAAUGAGGCGAACCGGGGGAACUGAAACAUCUAAGUACCCCGAGGAAAAGAAAUCAACCGAGAUUCCCCCAGUAGCGGCGAGCGAACGGGGAGGAGCCCAGAGCCUGAAUCAGCAUGUGUGUUAGUGGAAGCGUCUGGAAAGGCGCGCGAUACAGGGUGACAGCCCCGUACACAAAAGCGCAUGUGCUGUGAGCUCGAUGAGUAGGGCGGGACACGUGGUAUCCUGUCUGAAUAUGGGGGGACCAUCCUCCAAGGCUAAAUACUCCUGACUGACCGAUAGUGAACCAGUACCGUGAGGGAAAGGCGAAAAGAACCCCGGCGAGGGGAGUGAAAAAGAACCUGAAACCGUGUACGUACAAGCAGUGGGAGCCCC
rnacentral:rRNA from 1 species